GGUAGAUGCUGGACUUUGCUUUUCUGCUCUUAUCAAACUGCAGGCUGUGAUAUCUGAAGCUUCUACUUUGAUCAGCUGCUGUGAAUCAUUUAUUCUUCAUGCUGGCAGGAUUUUAAUUCCAGUUGGAAAUUGAGAUUUCUGCACAGAAGAGGAGGUUUAGAUUUUACUGCAGCAGAGAGAGAGAGAGGGAGUCACUGCUGCCUCCAAGCUGUGACCGACCAGGCCUGUGUGAUAAAGAUGAAGAUGAUAGUGAAGAGCUGUUGGACUGAGUGCUGCCGUGAUACCUGCAGACUCUGGUGCAAACUAACAGCUACUAAAGUCCAGAGCUGGAACAUUCCUGUCCUCUCAGGAGCUGCAGGGCGGAGGGGAGGAGGCGGAGGGAGGUAAAGAUGGGGUUCUCAAACUCUUUGGAGCCAGGGACCCCUUACAGCUCCUUCAGCUGUUUGAACACCUGAGGUAACACGUGUGGGUCUUUAAAUGUGAUAGGAGACAGCUGGCAGAAGGUGGGGAUGAUGCAGAGGAGUAAGGAUGGAGGGGUGGACAGGUGACGAGGCGAGGCUGUGAUAGAUGAUGAUGAUUACAUUCAAGGAGAGCUGCAUGAUGACACAUGAGAUCCCACCUGCAAGGUGUCUGCAGUGAGCUCCAUCCAAGACUUAGCAUGAGACAUCAGAGCAAGAGAGGGGAACAGACUGUGCUCCUUUAAGUGUAUGCAAAGGGUCUCACCAGCAGGGGGCAGCAGCAGCCUGGGUUCAAAAAGAGUCCAAUGUCAGAUGUUCAGAUUUCUGAUACGUUAAAGUAAAGUUUAUAAUAGUG